rnacentral:rRNA from 1 species
UCUGGUUGAUCCUGCCAGUAGUGAUAUGCUUGUUUCAAAGAUUAAGCCAUGCAUGUCUAAGUAUAAGCGAACUUAUACAGUGAAACUGCGGAUGGCUCAUUAAAACAGUUUGAAUUUAUUUGAUGAAUGUAUGAGAAUACUACUUGGAUAACCGUAGUAAUUCUAGAGCUAAUACAUGCAACGACGCCCGACCGUUUCACUACGGAAGGGCUGUAUUUAUUGGAUACCAAAACCAUCCUUCCCUCGGGAAGUUUUGUUUGAUGAUUCACAAUAACUGAUCGGAUCGCCACUGUGGUGGCGACAGGUCAUUCAACAUUCUGCCCUAUCAGCUUUCGAUGGUUGUGUAGUGGACAACCAUGGCCAUAACGGGUAACGGAGAAUCAGGGUUCGAUUCCGGAGAAGGAGCUUGAGAAUUGGCUACUACAUCUAAGGAAGGCAGCAGGCGCGCAAAUUACCCAAUCCCGAUUCGGGGAGGUAGUGACAAAAAAUAACAAUACCGGGCCUUUUUGGGCUUGGUAAUUGGAAUGAGGGAGAGUUAAACGGACCAUCGAGUAUCCAUUGGAGGGCAAGUCCGGUGCCAGCAGCUGCGGUAAUACCAGCUCCAAUAGCGUAUAUUAAAGUUGUUGCAGUUAAAAAGCUCGUAGUUGGACUUGUGUGCGCUGUCCGCGGGUGGCCUGCGCCCAAAAGGGCGUUUCGGUUCGGCCCCGGUGGCGCCUUGAAAUCUGCAGCUGGGAGGACGUUGGCCUUAACUGGUCGGCGACCGCACGCCGGCUGCUCGGUUACUGUGAGAAAAUUAGAGUGUUCAAGGCAGGCAUUGGGUGCAAUUGAAUACAUUAGCAUGGAAUAAUAAAAUAUGGCUCCUGCCGUAUUUUGUUGGUUUUGACUGGUGGGAGUAAUGAUUGAUAGGGACGGUUGGGGGUGCUAGUAUUGAGCGGCCAGAGGUGAAAUUCAUGGAUUCGCUCAAGACUAACUUAUGCGAAAGCAUUCACCAAGGACGUCCUCUUUAAUCAAGAACGAAAGUUGGGGGAUCGAAGACGAUCAGAUACCGUCGUAGUCUCAACCAUAAACUAUGUCGACUUGGGAUCGGCGGUAGUUUUUUCAUUAAGACACUGUCGGGACCACGGGAGAAAUCAAAGUGUCUGGACUCUGGGGGAAGUAUGGUCGCAAGGCUGAAACUUGAAGGAAUUGACGGAAGGGCACCACCAGGAGUGGAGCCUGCGGC